UGAUUUGAAGAGCUUGCUCAGAUAUGACGAUGGACAUUGCAAAGAGUGGCGAACGGGUGAGUAACACGUGGGAAACCUACCUCUUAGCAGGGGAUAACAUUUGGAAACAGAUGCUAAUACCGUAUAACAAUGACAACCGCAUGGUUGUUAUUUAAAAGAUGGUUCUGCUAUCACUAAGAGAUGGUCCCGCGGUGCAUUAGCUAGUUGGUAAGGUAAUGGCUUACCAAGGCGAUGAUGCAUAGCCGAGUUGAGAGACUGAUCGGCCACAAUGGGACUGAGACACGGCCCAUACUCCUACGGGAGGCAGCAGUAGGGAAUCUUCCACAAUGGGCGAAAGCCUGAUGGAGCAACGCCGCGUGUGUGAUGAAGGGUUUCGGCUCGUAAAACACUGUUGUAAGAGAAGAAUGACAUUGAGAGUAACUGUUCAAUGUGUGACGGUAUCUUACCAGAAAGGAACGGCUAAAUACGUGCCAGCAGCCGCGGUAAUACGUAUGUUCCAAGCGUUAUCCGGAUUUAUUGGGCGUAAAGCGAGCGCAGACGGUUAUUUAAGUCUGAAGUGAAAGCCCUCAGCUCAACUGAGGAAUUGCUUUGGAAACUGGAUGACUUGAGUGCAGUAGAGGAAAGUGGAACUCCAUGUGUAGCGGUGAAAUGCGUAGAUAUAUGGAAGAACACCAGUGGCGAAGGCGGCUUUCUGGACUGUAACUGACGUUGAGGCUCGAAAGUGUGGGUAGCAAACAGGAUUAGAUACCCUGGUAGUCCACACCGUAAACGAUGAGUGCUAGGUGUUUGAGGGUUUCCGCCCUUAAGUGCCGCAGCUAACGCAUUAAGCACUCCGCCUGGGGAGUACGACCGCAAGGUUGAAACUCAAAGGAAUUGACGGGGACCCGCACAAGCGGUGGAGCAUGUGGUUUAAUUCGAAGCAACGCGAAGAACCUUACCAGGUCUUGACAUCCCUUGACAACUCCAGAGAUGGAGCGUUCCCUUCGGGGACAAGGUGACAGGUGGUGCAUGGUUGUCGUCAGCUCGUGUCGUGAGAUGUUGGGUUAAGUCCCGCAACGAGCGCAACCCUUAUUACUAGUUGCCAGCAUUCAGUUGGGCACUCUAGUGAGACUGCCGGUGACAAACCGGAGGAAGGUGGGGAUGACGUCAAAUCAUCAUGCCCCUUAUGACCUGGGCUACACACGUGCUACAAUGGCGUAUACAACGAGUUGCCAACCCGCGAGGGUGAGCUAAUCUCUUAAAGUACGUCUCAGUUCGGAUUGUAGGCUGCAACUCGCCUACAUGAAGUCGGAAUCGCUAGUAAUCGCG
rnacentral:rRNA from 1 species